GAGGAGGCGACAGGAGGCAGUGGAAGCUCCAUCGUCAGGGAGCGAGACACUGCGCAGGCUCAGCACCCGGGAAUGAGGGCGCCUUCUCGGCCACAGAGCGCGUCCUCCUCGGUCCCCUUCUUGCGGGUCUGGAAGUCCACGAGACGGAUACAAAGAGCGGGAGUGACCUGGAGCUUCCGUCCACGGGCCACUAAGUGCAUGUGGUCGCACGUAUCGAUCCGAUCACCUGCUUGUCACACCUGGAACCGGAAGGAUGCUCUCUGUCAACGAGCACAUGAGGUGGGUGUGGAAAGAAGAGCAUGCGGCAGAUGGACAUCUUGUACGGAUGCAUGGAUGAAGGAGCACCACGCUUGUGUGCUGUGGCAAAGAAGAACAGAGCCUGUUCCUGUCUUUGGUUAUCUAGCUGUAUGAGUGUUAAACAUCCAUCAUAAAGCUAGAUAACCGAAAGUAGGAAUAACUUUCAAACCUUCGUAAGACAAGAAGGCAGAAGAAAGACAAGAGAGUGUGCUUGCUCUUCAUCAGGAAAAGAAGCAACAGAUCCCACCAUGUUGCAGACUGACAUCCAACUGUCAAUCAAUGCAAAUUUAAUUUAAGCACAUUCUAAAUGUCACGGCUAUGAACUU